rnacentral:rRNA from 1 species
CGAUCCUGUUAAGUCAGGCACGAGCGAGACCCACGCCACAGUUGCCAGCAUACCCUCCGGGGUGGAUGGGUACGACUGUGGAGACCGCCGCUGCUAAAGCGGAGGGAAGGAGUGGGCAACGGUAGGUCAGUAUGCCCCGAAUCUCCCGGGGCUACACGCGGGCUACAAUGGUUGGUACAAUGGGCAUCUACCCCGAAAGGGGAAGGAAAUCUCUUAAAGCCAAUCGUAGUUCGGAUUGAGGGCUGCAACUCGCCCCCAUGAAGCUGGAAUCCGUAGUAAUCGCGUUUCAACAGAACGCGGUGAAUACGUCCCUGCUCCUU